UAAAAAUCUUAAAACGGUGAAUGAAGUGCCUGAGGCCGAGAAUACUAGAUUGUAGUUUUUUUUACUGCGCUAUUGGUCCGUACACGCUACACAGGAAGAGAAAAAGAACUACAAUACCCAUCUCCAUUGCUUAUCCUGCUAAAAGGUGGAAGCCAAAGGCUAUCGGUCUAAUGAGCGCUGAGACGAGGAAAUGCACCUGAAUACCACAACAGAGUUAAAAAUGCCACGAAGGAUCAGUCCCCGUGCUGAUGCUGUGCAUUAUGCAACUACAAAGAGUGAUAAGACAUCAAAGCUUGAUGUGAAAUACAUCAGUCCAGAGAAAGGCCGUGGUGUCUUUGCACUAGCAUCAUUUUUUAGAGGCGAUUUUGUGGCUGAGUACAGAGGAGAA